GUUUUAUUCCAGGUCCUUUCUCCUGCUCUGUGUUUUAUUCCAGGUCCUUUCUCCUGCUCUGUGUUUUAUUCCAGGUCGUUUUCUCCCCCUCCUCCUUUCUCCUGCUCUGUGUUUUAUUCCAGGUCCUUUCUCCUGCUCUGUGUUUUAUUCCAGGUCGUUUUCUUCCCCUCCUCCGUUCUCCUGCUCUGUGUUUUAUUCCAGGUCCUUUCUCCUGCUCUGUGUUUUAUUCCAGGUCCUUUCUCCUGCUCUGUGUUUUAUUCCAGGUCCUUUCUCCUGCUCUGUGUUUUAUUCCAGGUCCUUUCUCCUGCUCUGUGUUUUAUUCCAGGUCCUUUCUCCUGCUCUGUGUUUUAUUCCAGGUCCUUUUCUCCCCCUCCUCCUUUCUCCUGCUC
rnacentral:lncRNA from 1 species